rnacentral:rRNA from 1 species
UUGAACGCUGGCGGCAGGCCUAACACAUGCAAGUCGAGCGGAUGAAGGGAGCUUGCUCCUGGAUUCAGCGACGGACGGGUGAGUAAUGCCUCGGAAUCUGCCUGGUAGUGGGGGAUAACGUCCGGAAACGGGCGCUAAUACCGCAUACGUCCUGAGGGAGAAAGUGGGGGAUCUUCGGACCUCACGCUAUCAGAUGAGCCUAGGUCGGAUUAGCUAGUUGGUGGGGUAAAGGCCUACCAAGGCGACGAUCCGUAACUGGUCUGAGAGGAUGAUCAGUCACACUGGAACUGAGACACGGUCCAGACUCCUACGGGAGGCAGCAGUGGGGAAUAUUGGACAAUGGGCGAAAGCCUGAUCCAGCCAUGCCGCGUGUGUGAAGAAGGUCUUCGGAUUGUAAAGCACUUUAAGUUGGGAGGAAGGGCAGUAAGUUAAUACCUUGCUGUUUUGACGUUACCAACAGAAUAAGCACCGGCUAACUUCGUG